CUGUGCGCUGUAUCGAUUGAGGCGGGCCCGCAAACGGACUGGUAGGUCGGCGAAGAAGAAAGAAAAAAAAGGAAAGGGGGAUAACAAAGCAUCACCGAGACGGGCCAGCAGCUCGAAGGUCGUCUCCACAUCGCUCCAUCUUCCUCCUCCCUUUUUGAAGGCACGUCUGCAUCACAACGACAAGGCUGCGCAACACGAAGAAAAAAGGAUCAAAAACUCACACGAAAGGCAGACGUCUUUUUUCCCAUAAAAAGCGCGACUAGGAGAAGUGCUUAUCUGCCUCUCUUCCUCCUCCCCCCUCCCCUCCCCCCUGGCACGCACACACGCACUCCAUCACACAACAAAGCGCAGCCCCCCUUUCAUCCAUCUCUCCUCUUGCCCUCUUCCCCCGUACUGCUCCGUUCUCUCUUGUGCCUUCCGUAAGCGUCUUUUCAUAUCUUCUGUUUAUAUAUAUAUAUAUAUAUAUAUAUGUGUGUGUGUGUGCGUGUCUCUCUGUUUUCUCGUGUGCUUACGUUAUUCACACCUUUCCUCUCUUUCUCCUUUCCCUCUACUUCCCUCACAUCUCUCCUCCUUGCGUUUCUGUCGAGCUUUCUCUUGCGCGCCUCUGCAUUUUUUUUUGUUCCUCGCAUUCUGUUACUCUUCUCGUGUGCUUCAAGUCGGUCCGCCUUGUUUGUUGUUUGUUUCGCUAUCGGCGCACUUGUCCCGUUCGCUCAUUCUCGCCAUUGUCGCAGGAGCGCACGCUCCCACACACGCGACAACACCGGCUCACUUCACUGCAGCUGCUGACUCUUCGAUCUGGUUCCAUGGUUAGGUGCAUCUCUCAAGUCCUAAUCUUGUUGCCGCUCCCCCUUUCUCGCAGCAGCAGGUAUUUGUCGACGCCGUUACGACCCAUAAAAUCUAGAAAACGAAAAUCGAUACACACAAGCUUGGAGAGGCCGAAGAGGCGAAAGAGUGAGGCAUACGCUUUACCCGUGCCCGCUCCCAUGUUUCGCAAACGCGGCUCCUCUAAGGAAAUGGAGCCGGAGGUGGUGCUGCUGCUGCGCCACCAAUCUCGCUACCCCGGAGACCUUCUUCAAGGCGUCGUCAUUGUCGAUAUACCUUUUCCGAGCGACAUCCUCGCACUAGAGGUGCGGGUCUGCGGAGAUGAGCGGUCUAUUCUGGGCGGGCUGUUUGUGACCGACAAAAACCCGGAGGCACGCAAGACGACCUACUAUGAGCAGUUCAUCACGCUGAGGGGCGUCGAUCAUGAUCUGCUGGAUUCGAAGCGCUCGCUGCGGAACUGCCGCCGCAUCGCUGAGGCACAGGGAGUCCGAACAGGGUUCAAAAGUGCGCCGCAUCGACAGUCAUUGCCUGCAGGCGACGUGGUGCCGGAACUCUCAGCGUCCGUGAUCCAGAACGCUUCGGAGGCGGCGGUCCAUCUCAUCCCCGGCACCUACUCGUAUCCGUUCUCGCUAGUCCUUCCAGACAACCUGCCCGCAUCAUGUGAGCUAUAUCGCGGGCGCGAUGGCCGCUGCGUGCUGCGCUACCACGCCGUCGCCUCGCUCAUCAUGACAAGCGGUAAGAUCCACACCUCCGAGGCGCGACUCCGCAUGAACCCGCUGCCGGUGCAGGUGCAGCGCUGGUAUCAGCUGCACGAAGAUGAGCAGCAACUCUGCGAAGCUGCGGAGGAUGGCGGCGAUGCAUACUACAAUGAGACUGAGUCUCGUGCUGGUGUCCUAUCACGCCUCAUGUCCUCGGCUGGUACAAUGCGAGCGGAUAAAGCGGAGUGGGAUUCUGAAAUCGCACAUCAGCGACGCAUACGUCACUAUCGCCAGUUUCCCGAGGACCAGCUCAUGCUCGAGGCUGCCGUCUACGCAGAGACAGCUGGCGAACGUGCGGAGAGAAAGAAACGCCGGGCGUGCGAGCGGAACGCCAGGGAAAGAGGCUCGCUACUAGUGGCGGCCGAGACUACGGCUGUGACGAAUGGUAGCGCAAGGAUACUGCAGAAUCAACGGGAGCAGGAAGAUGCGGAGAACCGGUCCGUGGACACCAAGGAUGGUGCUGCCGGCGCGGCGAACGAGUCGGAUGACGCCGCAACUGCCAAGGUGUACGACUUUGGGCCGGAGGCCCCCUCACCUACGGCGGCAGCGAGUAUUAGAGGCGAAGAAGAGUAUGGCAACGGCAGAUUCCACAGCAACAGCGGAGGGACAAAUGUGGGGCGUCGCAGAGCGCUCGAGAAUAGGGGUAAGAAGAAGCGGCAUCAUCAUUCUCACGAGAGGGACGCGAUGGACUCGCCGGCCCACACUGCCAUGGUGGAGAACAACGUGGAUAAACUCACAUUCACGCCGCCCGGGGGAGAGCUUCCGGCGCCCAUGGCGGUGCGGCACGUCAACCAAACGGAGGCCGUCUCGCACGAGACGGCGCACGGAAGCAGCGAGGAGGAGAGGGAGGGGAGGCAGUCCCGCAGCGCGCACCCACACCGCCGCAGCAGCCGCUUCCAGCCGCCGCCUUGGAACCAGGGGUUUUCCAUCAGCCUUCGAAGUGGGUUUCUGCGCACAGGCAAGGUGAGGGUUCUCCUCUCGCUCCGCAGCCCGUUAGUGACGGUCGGUAUUGGCAAGGUUGGCGCGACCAUCCUCAUUGACAAUUCCGAUGGCAGCGGGGCAAUCUCACGCGUCAAGUACUCCCUUGUCACGCAGUGUUACAUCCGCACCAAAACAGAGGUCUACAACUUCCCGGUCGACACAGUGGAAACGAGCUCCGACAUUAGUGUGGAGAAAGGGAAGGUGGUGAAGUUGCCAGAGGUGGAGCUGCCGGUACCGAAGUCGACACCCCUCACCAUGCUGACAGAGGGUAUGGGCACCCUCACUUUCCUGAGUGUACGGCUCUACGUGAGCACCGCCCUUAAGACGUUCUCGAGGUCUGUGGCGACGGAGGUGGUGCUCGUGUCGGGGCAGGAUGUACUCAACUGUAGCCGCCGCCUGCUUCGCUGGACGUGCUUCUUCCGCCGCCGCAACGGUGAGGACGCCCGUGACUUCACCUUGCGCCCGCCCACGAUCAACCUCUCUGAGAAGAACUCUAAGCUGCGCAUCAUCGACGGCAGCACCAGGGGUGCCGCCAGGGAGCAGCUCGGCCCCUCGCUGCAGAGAGACGAUUCAGACACGUCCACCAUGGCAGCAUCUGCGGUGAGUCGCUCUAUGCGCAUCCUGCGCACGAGCCAGCGCAUCUCCAAGGCGGCGCCACCCAUCGACGUGCGGCUGCUGGCCAAAACGCUGAACUACGAAGAGGCCCUCUUUGUGCCGCGCGAUGACGACGACGGGUCGAGCUUCCCGCGGCAUGUGGAUCCCUUGGCGGGGCUCAAUCCGUUUGUAGCUCCGGCCAGCGACGUCAUAAGCAACCUGGCAGAAGGUGACAACUACGAGACGCUGUGUCACUAGUGCGGCCCGCUAGCUGGCGUGCAUGGACGGUUUUCGAGCUUGCGGAGAGGGGGGAAGGAGGCGAGGCGCUCGAGCUGUGGUCGCCGCCGAUGCUCUACCGUGUGGUUAUUCGUCCCUCUUCCCCCUCUUUCGCCUUGCUUUCCGAUUACAGCGCGCGCUCUAUCGCGCGCACGGGUUGCGGUGCAGGAGGCGUCGCUCGCCCUCCUCAUAUUCUCUGUUUCUUGACCUCUUGCUGGAGCUGCUGCUGCCUCUUACUUUCUGUUUCGCUGCUCGCGCUUUUGGUUUUGUGUGAACGUGCUUUUGCAUCAUAUCUCCUUCUUUUCUCCGCCGCGUCGAGUCUACUCUGCUCAGCUUUCUCCUCCCCCCUCCCCCACUCUCUCCUUCUUCGCCUUCUGCACGGGAUGCGUGUGUACAACAGGAGGAAGAAGCAAGCAAAAAAGGAGCACACAGGAAGAGCGGCGGUGCGUGAGGGGGGGGGGGAGGGGCAGAAAAGAAAAACGAAAAAAACAAGCAAAUCACGCAUAGCGACACGUUUUUGUUGUUGUUCUCUCUCUCUUUUCUCAGGUCGCAUGGAGUAGACACUUCGUUGUGAGUAGCAAGUGAUGAUGGUGUUGAUGGACCUCCCUGUCUUAACGUUUGGCUCUCCGUGUCUUUUGGAUGCUGCUGCUGUGGAUUCGGGGGAGGUUUGAGGCCUUCUGUGGACUCAUCUCUUUGCCUGCUUUCUUCGCUCCCGUCACUUUUUUCUUCGCUGCCUUGCGAGGUGCUGCCUGCCUCCACGUUGCUCUCUCUCUUUGUUGCACACGCACUCGCACUCGGGUACUCCCUCGCUGGUAUACGGGGUCGCGCUGACGUCAACCUUACGCCUUUUCCUCCACGUGUUCUCUCUCUUUUCCCUUUCUGUGUCUUGCCACGCAAGCGGAACCAACAAUGAUGGGGCCUCGCCAUCUUUUCUUUUUUCGUUAUGUGUCUUACACGGCGCCUAACUGUACGGCUGAGUGUGUUAGGAGUGUGUAUGUGCACGUAACCCCCUAUAUGAAGCGUUGAUGACGCCAUUUGAGACGCCUCAUGCUCGACUGUUCCUGCAUCCAUUUUUCCCGUAUCCCACGCUCGUAGAUGUGUCCGCGUGCGUCCUGCAGCGCCGCGCUCGGUACACCCCUUUCUUUCCUUCCCACCCUCUUUCCUUUCCUUAUAUAUAUAUAUAUUCCCGUCCUCCGCGCUAGCCAUCACGCGCAUGCACGAGAACAGGCGCAGCAGAGAAAAGAAGGGGAGUACAAGGGAAGAAAACGGGUCGUUAGCAAAGGCGAGCACCAUCGUCGUUAUGGUGCUUCAAGCGCAACAGGCAAGCCUUAAAGUGUUUGCAUAGUCCCGAUUCCUCCCGCUUCCAUAAUUUGCCUGUGCACUGCCAUACUCGUAUUGGGUGUUGGGCGAGAGACAGGAGCCUCUGUCGCCCCGCAUGCACCAUCUCACCCGCCAGCUCUUUAUUUUCUCUCCUGCGUGCAGCCCAUCUUUUUUUUGUUCAUCGUGUCUUGUUGAUGGUGAACACUUGACAGCUACUCAGAUCAUCAGUCAUGUUUGUUUGCUUGGACUUGUCUGUGCGUGCUCUUGGAAGCCGGCCUGCAUGACUUUGUGCGUAUGUGCAUCUCCUCUUGUGUUCUUGGCUGCUUCUCCCUGGCUUCUUCGCGGUUGUCUCUUGAUGUUGUUUACGCUUGCUUUAGCGCGCACUUCGCGUGUGCGCAAAAAUGAGCAUGCGCUCCGGAAAACAAAAAC
rnacentral:misc_RNA from 1 species